rnacentral:lncRNA from 1 species
GGUGAUCAGAUUAUGGUGAUCUACUACCCGCACAAAGGUAUUGUGUUCUGAACACAUUAUAGUAAAGUGUUUACUGUUCGAAUUUGAAUUUCAAAUUUAAAUGAAUACAUGCUAUAUAUCAUAUUUAGAUCCUAGUGUAGGAUAAAUUUAUAUUAAUUAAUUAGAUUAAUUAAUAUCUUUCCGCUGUAAAAUCAUAAUUUUGAAAAAGUUUUAAAAUUACCAUUUUAUCCCUGC